CAGGAUUGAAGCACUCAGCAGUAGCGUAGAAAGUCACCGGCUUCGGUACGCUUAAAAUAGGCAAGAGAGCGUUGAAAACGUCGGAAUUUUCUGCCCACAUGUUAGAAAUUACAAGGCAUAAAGUUCAUUGCAUUUCUUUCGACAUUGCGUUGUCUCUUUGGCGCCGCAAAGCAUUCCGACGGAGUUGGGAAGCGCCACUGCACUUGUGCGUGUAUGUUGAAACCAAAAGCAAGGCCAUUGUGUAAUUGAAUUCGUACGCAUUACAUCAUCGUUAUUUUAAAUGAAAAGUACAUUCGUCAAUACUUUUGGCAUUAUGAUUGUAAUCUAUAUAUGAACAUUUACUUUGUCUCAAGAUAAAGAAUGGUGCGCAACGGAUAGCGUUCAGUGGAACCUUCUCCUCAGGUCUUGUUGGGUCACAGGUCCUUCUUCAAGUCGUAUAUAGGUAAUGUCCGUCAAAUCAGGACAUAUGAAGUGAUGCUCCGCCAAACAAAAUGCAGCAAUUCGUUUUAUUUAUAAAAUUUACUAAACAAAAAAUACAUGCAAGCUUAA